GACGAACGCUGGCGGCGUGCCUAAUACAUGCAAGUAGAACGCUGAAGGAGGAGCUUGCUUCUCUGGAUGAGUUGCGAACGGGUGAGUAACGCGUAGGUAACCUGCCUGGUAGCGGGGGAUAACUAUUGGAAACGAUAGCUAAUACCGCAUAACAGUAGAUAUCGCAUGAUAUCUACUUGAAAGGUGCAAUUGCAUCACUACCAGAUGGACCUGCGUUGUAUUAGCUAGUUGGUGAGGUAACGGCUCACCAAGGCGACGAUACAUAGCCGACCUGGGAGGGGGAUCGGCCACACUGGGACUGGGACACGGCCCAGACUCCUACGGGAGGCAGCAGUAGGGAAUCUUCGGCAAUGGACGGAAGUCUGACCGAGCAACGCCGCGUGAGUGAAGAAGGUUUUCGGAUCGUAAAGCUCUGUUGUAAGAGAAGAACGAGUGUGAGAGUGGAAAGUUCACACUGUGACGGUAUCUUACCAGAAAGGGACGGCUAACUACGCG
rnacentral:rRNA from 1 species